UCGCAGAACAGUGUGCCAGUAGAUGGCAGUACAUCUGAAAUGUAAUGUAUCGUCGAGCUACGUCUUAAAUGGCAACGUUAGCAGCAGCCAUUAUUAGAGCCACGACUUGGAAAGAAAAAAAUUGUGUGAAGCUGCAAACGUUCCGUCUGUGGGAAACUUAUUUUGGCUGGAAGUAAAUGCCAUUAAUACAACUCAGGCCGAAAAGUCGGGAGUGUUUUGGUGAUUACAAUGGCCAACGCUGGAGAAGUGGUCAGGGACGAAAUAGAUACAAUUGAGAUAAAAGAGGAAACUGUAGAAGAUAUUUCAGUGGAAAUCUUGGAGGAAUGCAUUCUGGAAGAGGAAGACAUCAGUGGCAAAUGUAGUGAGUUGGACCACACCAGGUUGGAGUGCUUGGUACCCAAGGAUAAUUCAGAGAACACAUGGCCUAUUGAUGUAAUACAAAAUCAUCCUGUAUGUCCAACAGACAGGGAUAAUCUCCGAAACCUUUCCUGUAGAAGAUAUUGCAGAGGCCAGCAAGCACUGGACAAACACUUGCUUGAGAAACACUGGUCUAGUUUUGUGAAGGAGGAAGGGGUGCAGCGUCAACUGCAGGUUAACAAGCACCAAGAGACAAGUCUGUCUAUUGUGAGCACCACUGUCCUUCCUGGGGCUCUGUGGACAGGGGAGCGUGUUCUGACUUUCCACCACUGCCCAGAAUGUCACCAGAGCUACCAGUGCCUCAACAGCCAGAAAACUGUGCACCUGACAAAAGCACAGUCUGGCAGGAAGGGGGACCUAGAAGGGGUUGCAGAAACAAUGUUUCACUGUAUGAAAUGUGGGAAAACAUUCCAACGUAAGGACAUACUGAAGGUACACCAGCUCACACAUGCAGAAGCUCAGCCUUAUUCCUGUGCAGACUGUGGUAAGACUUUUGCUCAAUUUGACUCUCUGAAACUGCACAGCACAAGCCACUUUGAGGAGACUCCUUACCAGAGUGGUGCCAGUGACAAGAGCUCCCUGGUGAAGAACGUGGUGAAGUGGACCAGUGAGCCAUGUGCUGUGAAGCAUUCUUACUCUUGUACUGACUGUGGUAUGGCGUUUCACCUGCUACGCAGCCUACGCGACCAUGAAAAGACUCACCAUGGGAGUACUCUGUACAUCUGCACCGACUGUGGAAAGAGCUUUCGUCAGUCACGCAACCUGCAGCGGCACCAGCGGACCCACACAGGAGAAAGGCCCUAUCACUGCAAAGAUUGCGACAAAGGCUUCAGUCAGAUGGGUUCCCUAAAGCUUCACUUGCGCAGCCACACCGGCGAGACCCCAUACCAGUGUUCCUUCUGUGACAAGAGUUUUAGCCAGCUGGAGAACUUGAAGAGACACCGUCGCACACAUACCGGAGAGACUCCAUACCCCUGCACAGAAUGCGGCAAGAGCUUCAGCCAGCUAGGCAACCUGAAGGCUCACAUUCGUAUCCACACAGGAGAGACUCCGUUCUCCUGCUCUGUGUGUGGGAAGGGUUUCAAGAACAAAGGAAACCUCAAGGCCCACUGCCGGAUCCACACGGGGGAGACUCCCUUCCAGUGCAAGGACUGUGGGAAGAACUUUGGCUGGUUGGCUGCCCUUAAGACUCACCAGCGCACUCACACAGGGGAGAGGCCAUACCACUGCGAACGAUGUGGCGAAAGUUUUGCAUACUCAUACAAACUUCGCACACAUGGCUGCCAGGGCUGAGGGAGAGACCUGGGUUUGUUGGUAAAUAUUUUACAGAGGAUAAUUCAAAAGAGACUUCACCACAGUGUGCUUCACCACACUUAAUUCAAUUUGUAUGUUGUUACCUGUGUUUAAUGUGGUAGUAAUCUAACCAAAUAUAAUGAUUCAUAUUGGUAAUAAAACAUAUCUUUUUUAAAAUUCUGUCAUAAAACAAGUCUUUCAGUUUGGCUUAAGUUUUGGGUAAGAAACAUGAGAAAUCAAAAGAUAUUAAUUCCGUACUCUGGCACCCAUUACCCCUCUCGCACA